UUGUGGAGGAGGACGCCGAAGGUGGGGCUAAUGACUGGGGUGAAGUCGUAACAAGGUAGCCGUACCGGAAGGUGCGGCUGGAUCACCUCCUAACAGGGAGACAACAAAACGUUAAAUAUUAAUUUUGUCACCUUAGGUCGAUCGGUAUCUCACAUUCUUAAUUGAUUUAAGAAUUUUAUUUCCUAAGUUUUUCUAGGUCACACCCAUUAUUUUUCCUGGGCCAUUAGCUCAGGUGGUUAGAGCGCACCCCUGAUAAGGGUGAGGUCCCUGGUUCAAGUCCAGGAUGGCCCAUAUCUCUAUGUUGGGGGUAUAGCUCAGUUGGUAGAGCGCCUGCUUUGCAAGCAGGAUGUCAGCGGUUCGAGUCCGCUUACCUCCACUGAUUACCACCUCUUCCAUAGUUUAUAGAAGGGAAAUUUUGAGUUGUGAUCAAAUUCUGAACGAAUCUAGCUUCCUAAUUAAACUUAUUAAGAUGCUGGACUCAUUGAAUUAUUUUCAUUGUUUUCAGAGAACCUUGACAACUGCAUAGAUUAUUUUUAAAGACAAUAAGCAUUUUUAAUGAUGCAGAUUUAUUAUUUGUGCGAAUGCAUUAAUAACAAUUCUAUUAAGCUGAUGCUUCAAUUUUGAAGUUAUUGGUCAAGCUACAA
rnacentral:misc_RNA from 1 species